ACGUUGGGAUUAGAAAAGGGGCUUUAAAGGCAUAUCUGGAAGAGCUGACUCAUACACCUCAGGAAAAGCAGAGCGGGAGGUGGGUCAGCAGCUAAUAAGCACAUCAGGAAGCACAGAGAAGUGCUGUCUAUCCACCUGUGUGUCCUCACAGCCCUUGAGUGAAGAGGGUUGAGCAUCAUCGUGACCUCGGGGAUUAGAGCUGGAAGUCAGUGUCCUCAAGAAAGUGGCGGAAGGGGAACUGUGUGGAGCAGUGUGCUGGUAAAUGUUUAAUAACACGCUCCCAAAAAUAUCUGCAGCAGCGUGCCCUGAUUUCCAUGGUGCACACACUCCAGCUGGCAGAAUUCCUGACAAUGUAACAAUUGGCUCCUUCAAGCCAGUUCAAUUGGUGCCAGCACACCAACUGGGGGAUGCUGUCACCAACGCUGAAGCUGGAGGAUGGAGCACAGGAAGGCGAAGCAAGGUCGGAACCCACUGCCUCCCUGUAUCCCAAGCUUAUCUUCCGGAGCAUUCUUCCUGGAAAAUGGCACUUACGCUUUAUGCCACCACGACUGAAGGCCUGUCUUCCUUUCUGAGGGAGCAGGCGAGCCUUCUUGGGUGGGAUGGAAAAUACGUUUCUAUUCUUAGCAUUAUUAAUUCUAAUCCAGGAGGGCACAAAGAGAAGACCACUUCCCUCUGUGCCCUCAGGACGUGUAUGCAGGGGAGACGAGAAUUAAAUAAUGAACAGGUCCCAAACAAAGCCAUUCGAUGCUGGGCACUGCAACGUCUUUCUGUUUCUCAAUGCUACUAAAACCCCACAAUGAGCUCUUCUGGUAACACAGACCAGAUUUCUAGAUGUCCUACUGGCAGCCGACCUUUUCUCGUGAACUCCAGUCAGUGGCCAAGGGAGAGGAGCAUCAGUGCUUUAAAAUCUCUUUUCUAUGCCUGAAGCAAACAUUUUACAACAUUUCUCCUUGAUACGAAAUCUCUGCUUGGACAUCUGGCUUCACAGUGAGGAACUUUCAAUACACUAGCUUCAAAGAAAGGGCUUGGCCCUGCUGGUGCAGUGAUGCCAGAAGAAUGUUCCACGGUCUUUCUACAGAACUAUUUCUAACAAUUCCCCCCAAUGAACUUCUGAGAGUCCAGUGGAGAGAGUUAACUAACAGAUAGCUCGGCUUUGGUGUGCGCCUGACGGGCCCUUGCUGAGCUCAGAAACGAGGGAUAAACAAGGUGGAGGACGUUUUAUUAGAAUCUGCCCACGACGUCCCUGUUACCAGCAGAUCGGCGUUACCUUCACAGUCUGCUGCGCCAUCGCAAAGCCGUCACAGGCAUGCUGCCGUCAAGAAAAUAACAGGAGAGGGAAGGGACAUGAUUGGUUUCCAGAGCCUUCAUGUAUGAGACGACAGCAUUCAUUUAUUCAGCAUAUUUCUAGAACUUCCAGUGAACCAAACUCCGAGGGCAGCGCUUGCUCUCAGGAAGCUUAGAGUCUGCUGGAAGGACAUUCAUCCAAACAGAGGCUCAGCAUCUCCUCUUUGCAAUGGGAAAACCCUCUCUUAAAAUCACAGACUAUUUCGGGAAGGGUGUGGUUAUCUUGUGAGGCCACAAUCCUGACUGACGUCGUGAGGGUGUUUGCAGUUUCUCUUUGUCCCCUUCGGGGGAUAUCCGCGUGGCUCACUACGCACUGUGUCUGGCGCAGCGUGUUGUUCCAGAACCACCUGGAGAUGAAGUACAAGCUCUAUGUCACCUCCCUAGAGCCUGAAGCGCCUGAGCAGCGAAACACACUCAAGCUCAAGGUUUUGGAUAAAGGAAAAACUUGGGGACCGGCAUUACAGUGUGGCGAAAACUUCACUGGAUAAAGGAACAAAGCUGGCAAGAGCUUCUCUCUGACACUCCACAAUCUUAAAGGGAAAGGACUCUCUGUAGGGAGCCUGUGCCGUCACCAGAGAGCGUGAUGGUUGAGGGCGAGCUGUCGAUACAGUGGUGAGAAGGGCAACAUCUAGACAAGUGGUUCUCAAAGGUUUUGGUCUAUUCUUUAACAAUAAAGAAUCCCAAAAAGGUCUUAUUUAUGUAGGUUCCAUCAGU